AAACAAACAAAAAAAAUUAUAUAGUCUCUAACUCAUAUGAGAUUGUAAUCAUUUGGAAAUAUGAGCAAGAAAUAUUUACACUUUGAAAGAGCCACAGAUGGUGAUGUAUCCAACGUAUGAGACACACACCAAGUGCUAUGAGUAUUCAGGGUAGUGAGAUAUUACUGUGUACUAGAGCAGCAAAGACAGAUUUGGGGAAGGACAUAGACUUGAGAUGAGUCUUAAAAAUAAUCUGUACCUGAAUAGAUGAAGAGGUGUGGAGAGAGCAUGCCGAGUACAGCUGCUCAGCAUUUUUGCAUAUAAGCUUUUAACAAUUGCUUAAAGUAUACUCCUGUGAACAAAAUUUGGAGCAUAUUUCUCUCUACCUGAUUUCUCCAGGAUUUGGACACUCUUUAGAAUCCAAUUGAAUGCUAUUAUAGUUUGGAUAUUUGACCCUCCAACCAGCAUGUUGAAAUUUGAUCCACAAUGUUGGAGGUGGGGCCUAAUUGGAGGUGUUUGGAUCAUGGUGGUGGAUACUUCAUGAAUGGCUUGCUACUGUCCUCCUGGAAAUUAGUCAAGGGCCAUUGACUUCCAGACUUUCUUGAUGGAGUUCCACUGCAGCUCUGGCUUAAUUUUCUUCUUCUAUGGCCAGGAAUCCUCCUAGAUGAUGAGAUAGAUGCCAUUUUCUGUGCUCAGCAGCUCUUACCUGGACUUCUCUUCCAGAUGCACCAUGAAGAGACGUGCCUUGCUCCACCUUCACCUUCGACCAUAAUUUGUGAGAAUGCAGCAACAAGGUGCCAGCUAUGAAGCAAAGAGCCCUUACCAGACAAUGAAUCUACUGACAACUUGAUCUUGGACUCUUCAGCUUCCCAAACUGGUUACCAACUAUAUCACAUAAUGGUCCUAAGGAUUAAAUGAAAAAAAAUGCAGUAAGAUAAAGCUGAUUUAUCAAGGUUGGGGAAAUGCAAUAAAGAAAGAGGUUAAUAAUUCACAGAGCCAGCUGAAUAGAAUACCAGAGUUUUAUUUCUACACAAAUCAGUCUCCCAGAGCAUUAAAUUGAAGCCAAGGGACUGAAAUAAGAAACUCCAGAGAACAACAAGAGGAACUGAAAUUGCAUGGUCAUUAGAAGGCAUCUUAAGAAUAACUGUGUAGCAGAGAAUGAGGACUCAUAUCAAAGUUUGAUUCUUUUAGUAUUGGAUUUUAUGAUGCAAUGGAAAAGAUACAUAGGGGAUCAAAUACAUAUGAUGGUGGAAGUGAAAACCAUUCCUUUGUGCUUCCUUGUUUCCUGAAGGGGUGCCUCUGAAAUUCAGUGAUCUCAACAGGCCACGUGGAGAGAGAGGUCUGCUUGGACACAUAAGCCCAGACAUGCAUGCCACUUGCUCUCUUUUUUCCCAUUUAUUUCCAGCUUGGGGUGGCAGAUAUGUCCUCCCCAUAACUCAGGCUUACCAUCGAGGCUUAUAACUUCUUGCCAUUCCAGUUCCAUAAGCCAGUUUGAUAACGCUUACAGGGUAUCAUAUGUAGCCCAGCCAUUUCUGGAUAUAUAUUUUUUAUUUCUUGCUGCAUCACACACCUAUUUUCUGAUUCAGUGUAGCAGGACUUGCUACCAUUUAUCACAACGAGCACUGGAAUCUCUCUUCUGGAAGUGAGAAAACUGAAGUGAAGAGAGGCUGCAGAAUUGAUCUAAGGCUAGCAGGACUUACUGUUGAAGUCUAUCAUGGACCAAAGGUCUCAAACCAGUAAUCUUUUUUAUAAUUCCUGCUGUAGCUCAUGCAAUGCUAAUACUUUCUGUAAUGCUAAUUAUGUCAUUUGAAUUAAAUUUAAAGGUUCUUUAGAAACCUUUUUAAGACAGGUGAAUCCUGUUUUAAUAGGGUAAUGAUUACUUUGUAACCUUAUAG
rnacentral:lncRNA from 1 species